GUGUUUGGAGGAAGGGGCAGAGGAUUUUAUAGUGAAACCUGUUAAAUGAUCGGACGUGAAACGUUUGAAAGAUAAGUCUUCGAUGAUGAUGAUGUUCAUGUUCUUGUAAAGGUAAUAAGCAAAUUCGUAUUUUUUUGGCUUCCAUUUUCAUGCACAUCAAGUGUUUGACUAAAUGUGUCAAUGGGUUUGUUUUGUUUGUGUUGAUAGUCACUGCAGUGGAUGGUGGAAGGAGAGCUCUGCAAUUUCUAGUUUUGGAUGAUGAGGAAAAGAGCUAUGUUGGGUUUGAUGUGUUGAAGAAUGUGGAAUGGCCAGAACAAUUUCCAUUCAAGGAAGUGGAUUUUCAACGCGCUGAUGAAGAACUGCAUCUUCAGGCAACUUUGGAUCAUUUGACAGCAAUUCCAUGUCUCUCAAGUUAGUUAAUUCAGUUAGUUUAGUGGAUAUGGCCUCAGAAUCUGAGCAAUCUGGGACCAACCAAGAUAAACAGUGGAUCGGAUUCCUGUAAAUUCAGAAUUAUGGCAUCUAUCAUUAUAUAGGGACUAUUUAUUAUGGAGGAGGACUGAAAUGAAGCCUUUGCAGCUAUGUUUGAAGGAAUUUCGGCCUUCAAAGAACCCUAACCCUAGCCGAGAGAGAGACUCUCGGAAAGUUAUAAUUGGUAAAAGCUCCCCAGUAGGAUACCAUGUUAUUUCAAGGUUCAAACACCUAGCACUACCAUAUUCAAAUAGUUUUUGGACAUGGAAAAACGAAUUCAAGAAUUUGCAAGAAUGUCUGGAAGAGCUUCAUCACUCGAAGAACCCCAUCCGAGUAGGGAGAGCUAUUGGAACAUACUCUCAGGAGGAACAACUCAAUUGCUUUGUAAGUUAUUUAAGGCUAAGUAUUCUAUUAUUUUGAAAAAGGAUAAAUUAUAAAUACACCAUUAAAGUUUGCUUAAAAUAUAAAUUAGCUCCUUAUAAUUCUACAAAUUACAUUCCAUCUUUUCAAGUUUCUAAUCACAU